rnacentral:lncRNA from 1 species
CGAGCAGAUAAGAGGAUCUCUGUUCAUAUUUUUCCCAAAACUGUUCCAGAAGUCCAGGAAGCAGGGACUUUGGCCACAGCAGGAGAGAGCUCCUUGAAACAGAUGUUCUUGAUGUCUCCAGGAGCAUGCUACCUUGCCUGUCAAUUGCUUUAAAUAUUUCAUCACAGACCAGGUGUGACUACAUAUGUGCUAGUUAGUUCAAGCAUCAUCUCUAAGCAUAUCAGCUGUCCAAAGCAACACUAGGUGUUCCUGGGGUGAUCAGUUGGCAUGCACAAGAGGGGCCACAACAAAGUGCUACUGAUAUGAGUAUUUCCAUCAAUGCUUUGCUAAUUAGAAUAGUGAAUAUUGGAAAUUGCUUUUCAAUGAUGAAAUUAGCGACUUGUUGGUUAACAUGAUUCAUGGUUGGAAAUGCAUUCUAAUUGGUGUAAGUAAUGGUAUUGAAGAUAUGUAGGCUGGAUGAAGUAUUUUUGAGACAUUGCCCACCCUUUAUAAUCACGAAGUGAGAAUCCAGCACCCUGAGGAAGGAGUGUUCCUAAAUGAUCCCAUAUCCAGCCAUUGUCUCAGAGGAUUUCUGUUUGCCAAAGCCAACUCUAACCCUCACUGAAUUGAACCUCUGGAUGUUAGAGUGACUUCCACGAGUGGACUUUCAGAAGGCGGACGCCACUGGGAUCAAAGAAAUCGUAGCUCAGCUUUAAGUUUCAAAAUGAUUUGAAGUCUAUGCUGAAGAUAAUAAUCUUGAAAGGAGGAGAUAGUCCAGGUGCUUGUCCUUGACGGUGUCUGUCUCCAUGGAGGAUAGUGGAUUCUGGAGCCAGGAAGCCAGAGAGUUUCUCUCAUAGAAAACCUGCUUGCACGUGGGCACAAAGUAGCAUUAACCUGAUGUUGAGGACAGCAGUGUUUGUUAUAACAAAACUCUGGAAAGAGCCUAAGUGCCCAUGAAGAAGGGAAUGGUAGAAGAAACUGUAGAACAUCCAUCUCACAAAACACCAGACAGCAAUUCAAAGGAAUGAAGCAGACAGAGAUGUGGUAGCUUAGAAAUACCUGGAAGACUUAGUGGCUAAGAAGAAAAGGAAGAUAAUUGGCGACUCUGUUCCAGAAGGUAUCCCAGAUUCCAUCUCCCCUCUGGUUUGGGCCCUGAGUGGAGGCAUUUGCAAACAAGGACUAAUCCUUCCUGGCAUGAGGAUGCUGCUUUCAGAAAAGUAAAGUGGAAGGCUCUUUCAUGAGCAAAACUUUCAUUGCUUUCAUAACUAAUCCAACUGAGGACACGGUCCACUGAGGUAUACGUUAGGGACGCUUGACAUUGUAUUUAUUUUCUAUUAAUAAAUCUGGGCUUCUCUCAAG